GACGAACGCUGGCGGCGUGCCUAAUACAUGCAAGUCGAACGGUCUUUUCUAUGGAAGCUUGCUUCCACUGAGAAGAUAGUGGCGAACGGGUGAGUAACACGUGGGUAACCUGCCCAUAAGAGGGGGAUAACAUCCGGAAACGGGUGCUAAUACCGCAUAGUUUUCUUGAUCGCAUGAUUGAGAAAGGAAAGACGGCCUUUGUGCUGUCGCUUAUGGAUGGACCCGCGGCGUAUUAGUUAGUUGGUGAGGUAACGGCUCACCAAGACGAUGAUACGUAGCCGACCUGAGAGGGUGAUCGGCCACAUUGGGACUGAGACACGGCCCAAACUCCUACGGGAGGCAGCAGUAGGGAAUCUUCCGCAAUGGACGAAAGUCUGACGGAGCAACGCCGCGUGAGUGAAGAAGGUUUUCGGAUCGUAAAACUCUGUUGUCAGAGAAGAACAAGUUGGAGAGUAACUGCUCCAGCCUUGACGGUAUCUGACCAGAAAGCCACGGCUAA
rnacentral:rRNA from 1 species